rnacentral:rRNA from 1 species
AUUGAACGCUGGCGGCAGGCCUAACACAUGCAAGUCGAACGCGUGGCGCACGGGUGAGUAAUGUCUGUGAAACUGCGCGAUGUAGGGGGAUAACUACUGGAAACGGUAGCUAAUACAGCAUACCAUCGGAUAUGUCCCGAUGGGAUUAUCUUGUGGGUGGGGUAACGGCUCACCAAGGCGACGAUCCCUAGCUGGUCUGAGAGGAUGACCAGCCACACUGGAACUGAGACACGGUCCAGACUCCUACGGGAGGCAGCAGUGGGGAAUAUUGCACAAUGGGCGCAAGCCUGAUGCAGCCAUGCCGCGUGUAUGAAGAAGGCCUUCGGGUUGUAAAGUACUUUCAGCGGGGAGGCGUUACCCGCAGAAGAAGCACCGGCUAACUCCGUGCCAGCAGCCGCGGUAAUAC